GCGUGCCCAUAUUCCUGGCACCCUUAGAAAAAUUUGACAUUUGUCUGCUUGGGUGAACACUGCCGUUUCUGUUUUCUCUUCAGAAUAUCCUCAUCUUCAAGUAGAAACCUGUGUAAACAGAAGGCCAGCUUUCUUCAUUGCUCUUCAGAAACGGGUCUUAUGCUGCUUGUAGCCGGGUGAAAACAUUUCCUUUGGUCCAAUUGUACCAUUCACAGUCCAAACCUAAGGAGACCAUUAAAGAGCCACAACUAAUGAAAAGGCAGAGAACUGACCGUGGGGGGCCCAGCCAAACUGAAGAAACACACUCCGGUACUCUGGGCUUAAGGAACAUCAUGUAAGAAUGGACAGAAACAUUAUAAGGCCCAGAGGACCAAGAAGUCUGCUGUGAGAAUGUGCCUUCCAGCUCUACCAGGGGAACUAGGCCCAGGAAAUCUCAACAGCAUGGCUGAGUAAACAAGACCCAGACAGUUUCAACAGUUGACAUCCCACUAUAGAUAGGAGAAAUGUCAUGAAGAACUACAAGUGAUUAACAUCUGUGGGGAGAGUGGAAAUUAUUCUUCCCUAGGGAUGAGUCACCUGAUUGGUCAGGCAUAAAAAUAUAUACAUAAAUGC
rnacentral:lncRNA from 1 species